rnacentral:rRNA from 1 species
UGCCUUGAAGAUCGGAGUGCUUGCACUCUGUGAAACAAGAUACAGACUAGCGGCGGACGGGUGAGUAACACGUGGGUAACCUGCCCAAGAGAUCGGGAUAACACCUGGAAACAGAUGCUAAUACCGGAUAACAACAGAUGAUGCCUAUCAACUGUUUAAAAGAUGGUUCUGCUAUCACUCUUGGAUGGACCUGCGGUGCAUUAGCUAGUUGGUAGGGUAACGGCCUACCAAGGCGAUGAUGCAUAGCCGAGUUGAGAGACUGAUCGGCCACAUUGGGACUGAGACACGGCCCAAACUCCUACGGGAGGCAGCAGUAGGGAAUCUUCCACAAUGGACGCAAGUCUGAUGGAGCAACGCCGCGUGAGUGAAGAAGGGUUUCGGCUCGUAAAGCUCUGUUGUUGGUGAAGAAGGACAGGGGUAGUAACUGACCUUUGUUUGACGGUAAU